CGCCGACGUCAUGGCCGAGUUCGCCGCCAUCUGCGACCGCCUCCUCCUCCCAGCUCGCGCCCAUGCCGCCACCACCUCCUCAUUUCGGAUAAGAAACAUUUCGGACAACCGAUGCUGAUUUCCUACUAUCAAUAUCUUCUGAUCGUUCUAGCGACGAUGGUUCAACAGCUGUCACUGCGAUUUUGAUUGGCAACGAACUAUAUGUAGCUAAUGUUGGUGAUUCGCGUGCUGUUGCUCUAAAAUCUGGCAAAGUGCUUAAUAACCUGCAAGUGCAGUCUGUCUGGGGAAAUGUUGAUGCUUUUGAUUGAUCAGAUCAAUCACACCUGUGAUCUGGACCACUGAUCACUGAACCAACCCGUUAAAAUUUCAUGUGGACUAAUUAUGUGAUCUUAUGGUAUGGUUGUCUAUUUUGUGAUAUUUUGGACAUGGUUACAUGUGGAAUAAUUAUGGGAUAUUUUGGACUUGGCAUAUGUUGAAUUACAUGAUAA